CUUUUUAGGGCCGUAACUGCAGCAUAUGAAGUUCCCAGGCUAGGGUUUGAAUCCGAACUGUAGUUGCCAACCUACACCACAGCUCACAGCAAUUCUGGAUCCUUAACACACUGAGCAUGGCCAGGGAUCAAACCUGCAUCCUCAUGGAUACUAGUUGGAUUUGUUACCACUGAGCCACAAUGGGAACUCCUUAGUGAUUCUUUGUGGUCUGUAAAUUAAAGUUUAUAUUCUUCAAGUUCUCUAGAUGCUGCUUGUACAUUCCUAUUCAACUUUAUCUUUCACAACUUCCUUAAACAGACUCCAGCCAAAAUGUCACUGAAUUUACCAACUUCUUUCUAUCUAGGAUUCCACUAUCUUUCUUUGUCUAGAUAGCCUCCCCCUCUCCACAAAACUACUGAUGACUUCUCUGAUUAAAUCAGUUCAGACUGUCAAAUGAACAUAAUAUGCAACUUCUGACCUCAUUACCUGAACUACUUUUUACAAAACUGUUAAUGAUCUUUUCUUUUCAGAUGUAUUUCUUUUAUGUAUAUAUUUUAUACCUCUUUGGCUACAUUGUGUAAGCUCACUGAGUCCAGGCACAGGCUUUGUCUGCCGGAAUUUAGCACCUUCCCUUGUAUCUAAACCAGAGAAAAGAGAAGGACCUUAACCAGGAGCCUAAGCAAGAGUUUUCAACCUUUUUUUUUUUUUUUUUAAUGGCUGCACUUGCAGCAUAUGGAAGCUUCUAGGCCAGGGACUGAAUCCAAGUCAAGUUGCUGCCUGUACUGCAGCUGCAGCAACAUCAGAUCUCUUAACCCACUGCACCGGUCCUGGGAUCAAACCCAUGCCUCCACAGCAACCCAAGUGGCUGCAGUCAGAUUCUUAAUCCACUGUGCCACAGCAGGAACUCCAAGAGUUUUCACCUUUGUUUGUUGACAUUUCCUAAGUGAAUAUUUGAAUUAUUUAUUUAAUCUUGAAACUCUACUAUUCAGUGUUUUCUUAAUUUACAUAAUCUUGUACAGCUUCAGAUUAUUACAUAUAAAAGAACAAUUUUAGUUUGGAAAGAAAUUUCUACACCAAUGAAGAAAUUUUAAGUAAGAAGAAGGGUGACCCAUUAAUAAAUAUCUUAAGGCUUUCAUUGUAAUUAAUAAACAGUCCUUGAUGAAACUGCAAAAUGCGUAAUAGUUUUUUGAUUUUAAUUUAGACUGUAGUAUAACUUUUUUAAAAAAAUUCUUCACAAUCAGUUUGGUCCUGCCCAUUAAAAAAUGAGUGUUGGAGUUCCCGUCGUGGCGCAGUGGUUAACGAAUCCGACUAGGAACCCUGAGGUUGCGUGUUCGGUCCCUGCCCUUGCUCAGUGGGUUAACGAUCCGGCGUUGCCGUGAGCUGUGGUGUAGGUUGCAGACGCGGCUCGGAUCCCGCGUUGCUGUGGGUCUGGCAUAGGCCGGUGGCUACAGCUCUGAUUAGAUCCCUAGCCUGGGAACCUCCAUAUGCCGAGGGAGCAGCCCAAGAAAUAGCAAAAAAAAAAAAAAAAAAAAAAAAAAAGACAAAAAAAAAAUGAGUGUUGCCUAGUAAUACUGUAAAUUAUUCUGAAAUUUGGAGAACAUUUAACUUCAAGUGACACAAGGCCUCAGUGAAUUCCUACCUCAUGAAAAGUUCUCAUAUUUAGAUAUAAAAAUCCUUCUAACAACUGAAACAGCUUUUGAAUAUGUUUUCAUUAAGCAAAAAAGGUAUUUUUUUUAACAUAAAAUAUACAUGUUUAACCGCAAAUGAAAAUGAACUCAUUUUUUUAGCUUUUUUUAGGACUGCACCUGCAACAUAUGGAAGUUCCCAGGCUAGGGGACAAAUUGGAGCUACAGCUGCUGGCCUACGCCACAGCCACAGCAUCACAGGAUCUGAGCCGUGUCUGCGACCUACACCACAGCUUACAGCAACACCAGAUCCUAAACCCACUGAACAAGGCCAGAGAUCGAACCCACGUCCUUAUGGAUCCUAGUCGGGUUCGUUAACUGCUGAGCCACGAAGAGAACUCUGAAAAUGAACUCUUUUUAAAGUAUAAAAAUAACAUUUCCCUUUCUGAAUAUACAGUACUUUUUAAAAAUUAUUAACACAGUGUCUUAUAUUUAGUAGUUUAGAAAUCUACUGGAAAAUAUAUUUGGAAUUUUAUUUGGAAAGUGUAUAUACUUUAUUCCUUUUUUUCAUCCCUUAUGAGAGGAUCUGGGAGGUACAGGCCAUGACAGCAAUGACCCUGUUGGUCCCUUCACCACUGUACCUGGGGCCUAAGACUGUACCUGGCACAUAAUAGAUACUCAUUAAGUAUUUUUUAAACAAAUGAACUGCUAGAAUAUAAGCUCCAUAAGGAAAAGGAAUAUCUUUGAGUUUAUUAGUUAAAAAUCUGGCCCUUGGAUUCAUAUUUGUAGUGUUUGAAUUCUGGUUGCACUAUUUCAUAGCUGUGAGACCUCUCCAAGCCUGUUUCCUCACCUGCAAAAUGUAGGAGUAAUAGAAUCUGCCUCAUAGAGUUACUGUGAGAAUUAAUCCACAUAAAUACUUGCACUUGGGGAGCACUCAAUACAUGUUAGCUGCUAUUAUCACCAUCAACAUUGUCAUUAUCUUCUUCAUUAGUCUCAUUCGCCAUUUAUCUUCUGCUCCUAGCAGGGAGCAUAUGCUCAGUAAAUAUUUGUCAAGUGAAGAAGUGAAUCAAUGAAUCAUACACAAAUGGGUCUGACUACCCUCAGUAUACUUCCAGGUAGGAUUUCAGACAAAUAGAAAAAAUUUUUAAAAGACUCUAAAAAUUAAUGGCACUAAAUUACUCUUAUUUGAACCUGCUAUUUGGAGAUUUAGUCACAAAGUCCUAGUCAUUCUCUGGUCCUUGGGGAACAGGUGUUCUUUCUGUUUUCUUUUUGAACUUCUGGUUGUGCCUAGCACAGAGGUUUGUAUCCUUUCUACCAAAAAAAAUUCUUACUUAGCCAAGUCACUUAAGUUAAAAUCUGAAAAUAAAUGAACAUAGAUUAUAAAAUGGGUAAAUGUUAGAAUACUCAUAAUAUUUAACUACAUUAUCUUAACAAAUCCAGUUUGCAGCAUUUAUGUUUCUUGCAAUGUUGCUAUACAUUGAAGUGUCAUAGUGAGAAUCAUUACUUCUACACUUUCUAGCUUAAAACUGCAGUAAAAAUUAUGUAAAUAGUAACUAAAGAGUUAUAUUUCCGUGAGCUGCCUCACUGUGAGUGGACAACAAAAGUCUCAGGGUGUGUGGCUUUGAAAUACUUCUUUUGUUACUAACUUAAAUCAUUUUCAAUCUCAUAUUCAUAAUAUUUCUCAUGAGAAGUGUUCUAUAUUGAAUAGUGCUGAUAAGUUUUCUAAUUUAUUUCGAGCUUCACUAUGGAAAGAUGCUAUUAGAUUAUAGAGUAGCACUGUUACAUUUAAGGUUUAUACUAGUUCUUUUUUAACUUAUAAAAAUGAAUGUGAACUUCAGCAGCAAAGAGUUUAUUUUUUAUUAAGAUGAAUACUGAAUAAUUAUUUUAACUGAGUGAGGAAAAGAAGGGAUGUAGAUUCAGAGAAGAGUUAAAGUUCUCUUUCUACUUGUGUAUAUUCUUGGUGCAAUUAUUAUUUUUUCACCAUAUUUUCUAUAUUGAAAAUAAACUUAAAAAAACUAAAAAAAUACCCAUAAACCUUGAUUCUCCUUAUCACACCAUUUCUCACAAGUAUACUGACAAAAGAACUGCAGGUCCUAAAAGCUAAAGUCAGUGGUUUUCAAAUGUUUGUGUGUACACUGCAGACUAAGGAGGGGUAUUUGUUAGGAAUGCAGAUUCUUGGGCUACACCCAGGAUUCUCAUCUCUUGGGGUGUGGCUCAGAGUCAAGUGAGAAAAUGUGUCAAGGUAGAGGAAAAGAAACUAACCCAGUAAUUGUUCUAUCUAAAAUCUAAAAACAUUCUUCUAGUUUCUUCUUUGCUUCUUUUUGCCUCUUUUUACUUUCUCUGGACUUGAACAUGAGGCUCUAAUUGUUUCUCAGAUGCACUUCCAACUCUUUCAAAAUUCCAGAAACAAGCUCAAGCUGAAGCUGCCUGGUCAUUUUUACAUAUGCGCUGGACGCAGGGCUGCUGAAAUUCCAAACCUUAAACUUGAAAGGAAGACUAGGAGUUCCCACCUUGGCUCAGUGGAAAUGAAUCCAACUAGGAACUAUGAAGUUGUGGGUUUGAUCCCUGGCUUGCUCAGUGGGUUAAGGGUCUGGUGUUGCUGUGAGCUGUGGCAUAGGCUGCAGAUGCAGCUCAGAUCUGGCGUUGCUUUGGCUCUGGCGUAGGCCAGCAGCAACAGCUCCAAUUCAACCCCUAGGCUGGGAACCUUCAUAUGCUGCGGGUGUGGCCCUAAAAAGACAAAAGAUAAAAAAAAAAAAAAAGAAAAAAA
rnacentral:lncRNA from 1 species